rnacentral:lncRNA from 1 species
UAGACUUCUUUUGCAAGUCCCGACGGCGACCGUGACUCCCUCGACUCCAGCUUCUCCGAUGCAGGCAGAUUUUUGCACCAACAGGAUUGGCGCUAGACGAAAGGGCGCUGUGUCUUCGCAGUACCUUUGUUCUUAAAGGAGCGCUCAACGGGACCAUCUCCGGUCAUCUUCUCCGGCAUCUUCUCCCCCAGUUCCCUACCUGGUCUCUACUUGAUGCCUCCCAGAAGGGCAUCCACCAGGCAGUCAACGACCUCUGCGACC